rnacentral:rRNA from 1 species
CACGUAGUUGGCCGGUCCUUCUUCUGCACAUACCGUCACUUGCGCUUCGUCUGUGCUGAAAAGAGGUUUACAACCCGAAGGCCGUCAUCCCUCACGCGGCGUCGCUGCAUCAGGCUUGCGCCCAUUGUGCAAUAUUCCCCACUGCUGCCUCCCGUAGGAGUCUGGGCCGUAUCUCAGUCCCAGUGUGGCCGGUCACCCUCUCAGGCCGGCUACCCGUCGUCGCCUUGGUAGGCCAUUACCCCACCAACAAGCUGAUAGGCCGCGGGCCCAUCCCACACCGCAAAAGCUUUCCACCACCGACCAUGAAGCCGAUGAUCAUAUUCGGUAUUAGACCCAGUUUCCCAGGCUUAUCCCAAAGUGCAGGGCAGAUCACCCACGUGUUACUCACCCGUUCGCCACUCGAGUACCCCGAAGGGCCUUUCCGUUCGACUUGCAUGUGUUAAGCACGCCGCCAGCGUCGUCCUCGUGCACGGAGUCAAACUAC